GUUUUAACCAAAAAAAA
rnacentral:sRNA from 1 species